UACAUAGCUUCGUUAACAGCUCAAUAAUUAUUUACCAAUAAUUUUUAAUCCUGAGGCUUAUCAUCUUUUUUUUCACGAGCUUCGUCGCGGUCUGCCAAUCCUUUCUCUUCCACGAAAUAAUUUUUCGCGUUCCGUAGCAACAAAUACUUAACAUUGUUAUAUUUUUUAUAAUUUUGAGCUUUAUCAUUUUCCUUGUAAAAUUUGUCAAGUGUUCUCCGCGAUGCUUCUAAUUAAUGAAUUAUCGGGUAAGUUGUCAUUCGAGUACAUCCUAUAUUAUACUGGCUGUUAAAUAUUAAAUUACUCAGUAUACAAAAUAUUCGAUGUGCUUCGAACCGUAUUGAAAAGUUUUCGUGUGGAUGAACACGAAACUUGAAACCAACCUGCACGUUCCACAAAUUCACAAAAAAUGGAGAUAAAAAAUUCUGGAUUUUUGAAGAGGUGUUUCGGAAAUUCAACGCUGCCACGAGCCAUAACUUUCGUAUCGUGCACGUAACGUCGUAACGUAAUUCAUGUGUUACUUGAACGAGGUAACAUAUUUCUAUGCUUUCCAUAAACUUUAAUAUUAUAGUUUACUCUCGGUCAUUUCGCGAGAAUUUCAUCAAGUGGUAUUAUAACAGUGUUAUAUGACUUCAUCUACAAAUAUUGACAGCAUCGUAGUUUACAAAGUAUUAUAGAAUACUAUGUUAUUUGAGACAAUUAUAACAGCCAAAUUGUGUUAUUUUAUCCCACACCUGCCGAUUGUAAUCCCAUAGCGACUACGAAUACGCAACUAGAACGUUCAACAGCAUAAAAACCAAUACUAUAGCUAUGCCUCGGUCGACAGAUGGUCUGACUCUAAUACAAGAUCCACACGAUUUAUUCGUUGAUCCGCAUACCAGCUAGAAAACAACGAGGCCGUUCAGCUGUUUAUUUGCGAAAUACGAUCCGCAGCAAACUAUGCGGUUAAUGAAACGAUCGAGGCAGGUUGAAAAAUCUGUGGAUCGUGGAGGGCAUCCACGCGAACGAAGAAAUUGGAGAGUGAAACGUGGACGGUCCAUGCGCGCGAUGGAUUGAAAGCGGGAAGCAAGGCAAGAGGUGAGCCAGACUAUCCCGUGGUCUGGUACCGUCAUCUCAAGGCGAAGGUGAUCGGUUACCUCAGCUGCUGCCGCAGCUGACAAACCUUCUGCCGUUGCCAGUUUCGUCGUGAAUAUCCACCGGUGGAUACAUACUUACUUUCUGGACGACAGGUGCUUGCAAUAUGCUCAAGCGACAGCCGGCGUUCGUCACAAUUCCUUCGCGUAGCAACAAAUUCAAUCGAAUCGGACGAUUUUUAUCUGGAUCUGGACGAGGGGGUUGAGCGUUGACCCCUUCAGGUGACCACGUGUCGAGUAUGCAUUAUAUGUAUACAACUGCUCAAUGUUCAUUAUUCUGUCUCCAGAGUAUUUAAACGAUUUAAUUACUGAGUAUAAUAAAUGUUAACGUUAUUCAA